GAUGAACGCUGACAGAAUGCUUAACACAUGCAAGUCUACUUGAUUCUACUUCGGUAGUUGAUGGUGGCGGACGGGUGAGUAACGCGUAAAGAAUCUGCCCUUUAGUUUGGGAUAACCUUUGGAAACGAAUGCUAAUACCGGAUAUUAUGGAGACGUCGCAUGGCGACUCCAUGAAAGCUAUAUGCGCUAGAGGAGGACUUUGCGUCCCAUUAGUUAGUUGGUGAGGUAAUGGCUCACCAAGACCGCGAUGGGGAGCCGGCCUGGGAGGGUGAUGGGCCACAAGGGAACUGAGACACGGCCCAAACUCCUACGGGAGGCAGCAGUGGGGAAUGUUGGACAAUGGGCGCAAGCCUGAUCCAGCCAUGCCGCGUGAGUGAUGACGGCCUUCGGGUUGUAAAGCUCUUUUGUCCGGGAAGAUAAUGACUGUACCGGAAGAAUAAGCCCCGGCAAACUUCGUGCCAGCCGCCGCCGUAA
rnacentral:rRNA from 1 species